rnacentral:rRNA from 1 species
UACGUAGGGUGCGAGCGUUAAUCGGAAUUACUGGGCGUAAAGCGUGCGCAGGCGGUUCGCUGUGUCCUGUGUGAAAGCCCCGGGCUUAACCUGGGAAUGGCAUGGGAAACUGGCGGGCUGGAGUGUGGCAGAGGGGGGUGGAAUUCCGCGUGUAGCAGUGAAAUGCGUAGAGAUGCGGAGGAACACCGACGGCGAAGGCAGCCCCCUGGGCUAACACUGACGCUCAGGCACGAAAGCGUGGGGAGCAAACAGG